UGGGGAAUAUUGCACAAUGGAGGAAACUCUGAUGCAGCCAUGCCGCGUGUGUGAAGAAGGCCCGAGGGUUGUAAAGCACUUUUAGUGAGGAGGAAAGGUUAGUAGUUAAUACCUGCUAGCUGUGACGUUACUCACAGAAAAAGCACCGGCUAACUCUGUGCCAGCAGCCGCGGUAAUACAGAGGGUGCAAGCGUUAUUCGGAAUUACUGGGCGUAAAGCGCGCGUAGGCGGAUUGUUAAGUCAGUUGUGAAAGCCCUGGGCUCAACCUAGGAACGGCGAUUGAAACUGGCAGUCUAGAGUUUAGUAGAGGGAAGGGGAAUUUCUGGAGUAGCAGUGAAAUGCGUAGAUAUCAGAAGGAACAUCAGUGGCGAAGGCGCCUUCCUGGACUAAAACUGACGCUGAGGUGCGAAAGCGUGGGGAGCAAACGGGAUUAGAUACCCCGGUAGUCCACGCCCUAAACGAUGUCAACUAGCUGUUGGUCUUAUUAAAAAGGAUUAGUAGCGCAGCUAACGCGAU
rnacentral:rRNA from 1 species